GGUCCCGCCCCAGGCCUGGGGCGCGGUCCUCUGGCGCCCUCUGCUGGCCAAGGCGCCUCCCUGCAGUCGUCGCGGGGUGCAGGGGGCACGCGCCUUUCAGGGAAGUGAAGGCUGGUAUAACUGCCGGGAGGGCAAUCUGGGAAUACCUAGUGUGCUCACGAAAGGCUUCUGGAAGGAAGGGCCCAGUUGAGCCCUGCAUGGGACAUUCAGCAGAAGACACCGCAGAAAGCCAAGGAAUAACAAGGGAGUAAUAAAGGGACCACACUGAGGACCUGGGCAGGUCAGACCCCACCUGGCAGUAGCCAUCUUGCCUGCCCACCUGUCUUGCCUCCUGUGCCUUCCAAGUUCCGGUUUCAUGUGCUUCCGAUUUGAGGCCCUGCCUCCCCAUGGUGAUGGACAACAGGAAGCCAGAGCCAGGGGGUGACACUGCCCCCUUCAGGCUCUCCUUACCGCUGCACCAGACUCCUUCCAGGGUGGACAAGCUGCCAUGGAAAGAAAGUAACCACUGGAAAUUCUUUUUUAGUUCUAUUUCAAUUCCAGGAACAUUUAUUGAGUCUACCCGGGGUCAGGCAUGGAGGCCAGUGGUGCAUAAGACAGACACAGCCAUUACCCUCAAGAGCUUAAUUUCUUGUAAUUGCACAAAUAACUUAAUGAGAAGGUGUGAGUUGCCUGGCACAGAGCAGAUGUUCAGAACAUUUGUUCUGCAAACAUGUCGAGUAGGGUUGCUAGAGUUAACCAAUAAAAAUACAGUGCUCAGUUAA